GCCAUGGGGAAGCCGGGCGUGGAGGCAGCACCGGGCUCGGAGCUGGCCAGGGUUCCCUAGCCUAUGGAGCACGCAGCCACCACAGGCCCCAGGCCUGGACCUCCCUCUCGGCGGGUGGAGAAUGUUGUGCUACGAGCCAAGGACUGGCUGCCAGGAGCUCCUGGGGGCACCGCAGUGUGGGCCACCAGCUUGGAAGCAGAGGUCCCACCAGAUCUAGCGCUCAAUAAGGAGCAGCAGCUGCAGAUCUCCAAGGAGCUGGUCGACAUUCAGAUCACAACCCACCACCUACAUGAGCAGCAUGAGGCUGAAAUCUUCCAGCUGAAGAGUGAGAUCCUUCGGCUGGAGAGCCGGGUACUGGAGCUGGAGCUGCGAGGAGAUGGCACCAGCCAGGGCUGUGCAGUCCCAGUGGAGUCUGACCCCAGGCAUCCCCGGGCAGCAGCCCAAGAGCUCAGACACAAAGCCCAGGUGCCUGGACACUCUGAUGACCACAGAUUCCAGGUGCAGCCCAAGAACACCAUGAACCCCGAGAAUGAGCAGCACAGGCUGGGGAGCGGCCUGCAGGGGGAAGUGAAGUGGGCGCUGGAGCAUCAGGAGGCCCGGCAGCAGGCACUGGUGACGCGUGUGUGAGUGGCCAUCUCACCUGGGGCCCCAUCCUGGAGCAGAGAGAACCCCUGAUCGUGGGCCUGCUGAGCCUCACCCCCGUGUCUUCAGGGCAACCCUGGGCCGGCAGCUGCAGGGAGCCCGAGAGGAGGCCAGGGCAGCCGGGCAGCGACUGGCCACACAGGCUGUGGUGCUGUGCAGCUGCCAAGGCCAGCUCCGUCAGGCAGAGGCUGAAAAUGCCCGGCUGCAGCUGCAGCUCAAGAAACUGAAGGAUGAGUACGUCCUACGGCUGCAACACUGCGCCUGGCAGGCAGUGGUGAGCCCUGCAGGAGCACCCUGAGGCCUAGGGAGCCCAAGCCUGGCCUGGGUGUGCUGGAUAGCUUCAGGGAGACCCCAGGGCCCCGGCACUGCUCAGCCUGCUGGGGUGGGGGGAUGGUUGGAAAAGAUGGGGGGUGGGCCCCAUGCGGACCCAGCCCGCCGCCUCCAGGAGCACGCAGAUGGUGCAGGCCAAGCGCCAGCCACCACGGCCCUCCGGACAUUCCUGGAGGCGACUCUGGAGGACAUCCGGGCAGCGCACCGCAGCCGUGAGCAGCAGCUGGCCCGGGCUGCCCGCAGCUACCACAAGAGGCUGGUGGAUCUGAGCCGCAGGCAUGAAGAGCUACUGGUUGCCUACAGGGCACCUGGGAACCCCCAAGCUAUUUUUGACAUAGCCAGCUUGGACCUGGAACCAUUGCCCGUGCCCCUGGUCACUGACUUCAGCCAUCGGGAGGACCAGCACGGCGGGCCUGGGGCACUGCUCUCAUCCCCAAAAAAGAGACCCGGUGGAGCCUCCCAGGGGGGAACAUCAGAGCCACAGGGCCUGGACGCUGCAUCCUGGGCCCAGAUCCACCAGAAGCUCCGGGACUUCUCCCGCAGCACCCAGGCAGAGCUGGAACGGGAGCGGGCACAGCUGCUGGUCCGGGCCACGAUGGCUGAAGAGCAACUUUCUGAGCUACAGGAGUACGUGGACCAGCACCUGGGCAGGUACAAGCACGAAAUCCUGAGGCUGAGGAAGCUGGCAGGUGCAGGGGACCCCUGGAAAGUGGGGGCUGUGCCUCCAGCCAAGCCCCAGCAUCCAAGGACCGGCAGCCACUAGGCCGUCUCCCAAGGAGCAGAGCAGAGCAGAGCUCCUCAGCCAGCACAGAACCCUCCCACCCAGCCCCCCAUAAAACAUGAGUCAGGAUAGAACCCA
rnacentral:lncRNA from 1 species